UACUCGUGAGUUGUGAACAAUUUUCUUAGCAAUUCUUUUAUUAAGAAAGCAUCCAAUUUUUAAAUUUCUCCUUAUUUCAUAGCAAUAAAUAAAAAUAUAUUAUUCAGUUUCAAGUUAGUGUUAAAACUUUAUCAGAAGGAUUAUAUUAAAUUAGAUUAGGUUGAGAUCAGAUUUCAGUUCAUUUUAAACAUAUUUAAAUAAAUAGAAACAAUAUCACUUAAAAUUAUUGUUUAAAAAAUUGUUGACCUUAAAAAUAGCCUGUUAUUUUAACGCAAUCUAGACAUAACUAACCUUUUUGGCAAAAUUUCAUUAUUAAGUGGAUUAAACAUUAAAUUUACAAAAGUUGCCCUUAUUUCUUAAAAUAAGAUUGUAGUCAAAUAUCCAAACUUAACGUUACUAAAACUGUAUGUAUAAUUAAAAUUUUCUUAAUUCUGUAAUAGCAUACUAGUAUUUUUUGCAACUUCUGUAAAAGUUACUAAUAUAUAGUAAUAAAUAUUGGUUUAUUUCAUAUAGUUGUCUAAAAAUAUGUUUGCAGGAAAUUGUCUUAGCAACUGUUAGGUUAAACUCAUCACUACUUCAUUUAAGAUUGCUAUGUGGUAGUAAUGGCAUAGUUGUGGUAGUGUUUGUAGUAAGAGUAGUAAGGCGAGCGUACUCACGUCGAACGUUAGUGAAGUGGAUAGUAGAGUUUCCUGUAUUAAUGUCACUUUUAAAUUCAAUACAUAGUACGGUCUGUAAGACUAAAUUUUGUGUUCGCUCAUAAUGAAAGAUGAUGACAGAUUUCCCUUUACUUAAAAAAAAAAGAAGUUCUGCACUAAUCGUUGCGAUGAUAUCUUUCGUUAUCUAUAAUUUGAAUCGUGUUAAUAAAAGAAUUCACUGAGCAAGAUGUGAAUCGGAGCGGGACGUAUUAUCCUGAAGUAGACUAUACGUUGUAAAUAUUAUUUAAGGUAAAGAAUUUCAUCUCCAAAUUUCAAGUGGCUCAUGGCAAUUCUUCAUCCGAAGAACAAUGAAAA